rnacentral:tRNA from 1 species
UCAGUAGCUCAGUGGAUAACGCGGUGGCGUUUGAAGCAAGCGGUACUGGGUUCGAGUCCCAGAAUGA